GUAAAAUAAAUAUAAAUACCGCGUCUGUCCGUCGUGUUUACACUCCGCGGUGAUGCAACAUAAUGACGCGCGCAAAAGACGAGAUGUCCGCGGUAUUUUCCCGUAUACAGUGUUCCGGUAUACGCGUGUUCACCUAAUCCAACCGAGUUCGACCCGAGUGGAAACUCAACCGGGUCGGUUUCGAGAGUUUCAGGAGUUUUAUAAAACUCAACGUUGCUGUUGGUUCGAUUUCGAUUACGCUCCGAGGAAGCCGCGUGACUAAUGUGCCGUAGAAACAACUGAUCAGGGUGUAAAAAUAACCACGAUUCUCAAACCGGGGGGGAGGUUUUCGUCUUU